rnacentral:rRNA from 1 species
UACAGAGGUCUCAAGCGUUGUUCGGAAUCACUGGGCGUAAAGGGCGCGUAGGUGGCGCGGGCAGUCAACGGUGAAAGUUCGGGGCUCAACCCUGAAUCGGCCGUCGAUACUCCCGGGCUUGAGCACUGUAGAGGCUAAUGGAAUUCCGGGUGUAGCGGUGGAAUGCGUAGAGAUCCGGAAGAACACCGGUGGCGAAGGCGGUUAGCUGGGCAGUUGCUGACACUGAGGCGCGACAGCGUGGGGAGCAAACAGG